UUGACCCGCAGUCCUAUUUCUAAGUGGGUAACGUUUCACUUUUUGUAACGAAAAAAAAUACCCAAACACACACGGGCUCGGGCUCGCGCUCACCUCCUCUCCCUCUCGCCCAGAAGUCCUCGCCGCCGCCGCCGCCACCACCCACGCCGACCGCUUCCGGCGAGCUCCGGCACCGCGCAACAUGUACCCGAGCUCCCCACAGUCCGCGCCUCCCUCCCCCGCGGCCAGAUUCUCCGCUCCCGGCAUCUAUCGCCCGCUCGCAGCCCCGCCCCCAUGGCUAGGGUUUCGAGCAGGGCUUCGCCGGUGCAUCUCCCGCUCGCCGUCUUCUCCCACCACGCCGGCCUCCCUUCGCUAGGCACCCUCGCACCUUUCGGCACCCUCGCACUGGGCAUUCCUUUCUCUCCCCCUCACGGCUCCUCCCGUCGCCAAACUGGAGCACCAGCCGAUUUGGGGCAGCAAUGCCACGAGCUAACACCCCUGCGUGGGCUUGCUCAAUCUGGGGCAGACGCGCCAGUUCUGGCGUGGAGAGAGGAGGAAGGUGAGACGGGAGGCCAAGGCAACGGCGAGAUCCACGUCGAGCUGCCAUGGCCAUGACCUGAUCCACGACGAGGUUAAAUGGGGGCGGCUGCUUCCUAAAGGACGACGAAGCUCUCCAAGGAUUGACCCGGCGAAAUACAAGAGCAUCUCAUCUGGAUUUAGCGUUCUGCUAAAGGAGCAAGGAGCUAGGGGAUUUUUCAGGGGAUGGGUGCCUACCAUGCUUGGUUACAGUGCUCAGGGGGCUUGCAAGUUUGGGUUCUACAAGUUCUUUAAGAAGACCUACUCAGAUAUGGUUGGGCCUGAGAAUGCCGUGAAGUACAUGACCCUAUAAUUUACCUUGUAGGGUCAGCUUCUGCUGAGGUAAUUUUUGAUAUCGCUCUAUGCCCCUUUGAAACUGUCAUGGUCCGUGUGCAGACACAACCUGGAUUUGCUUGUGGGUUGAGUGAUGGGCUUCCCAAGUUCAUCAAAUCUGAGGGUGCUGCUGGGCUUUACAAGGGAAUUGCUCCUCUCUAGGGUCGGCAGAUUCCUUACAAGUGCUUUCUCUCAUCAUUCUGUUAUAGUCUUCUAAUUUGAAUUGUCACUACUAUGGUUGUUUCACAAAUGUGGCCUGCUUUGGAACCAAAUGCUCUAAAGCUGGUCCCCUGUUUCAUCUAAUCGGCCUGUUUAUUUUUCUUUGAUACCAAUUGGCGAUGUUUAGUUACCUUUUCUUCUCCUAUAUGAGCAAACUACUAUCCUAUUGAUGGCCAACCAUGCUGAUACUAUUCUAUAUUAGUUUUACCAUUUCUAUUUGUUGCCUAGCUUACGGACAUUAUUCAUCGACUCCUUAGAGUCAUUCACUCCACAGUUUCGAUGGAAGUUUUUAGCUGAAACUCCAAAAUUCACUUUUCUUGCCAAAAGUAAAUAUGUUAGCCAAACAUGAGAUUACUGUAUGUAUGUCCAUCCACACUUGCGCUGCAGCAGAAGAGAACAACUUAGCAUAUAUGACCCACACAAUAAUAAAGAAUAAAGAAAAGGAUUAGAUAUUUUUAUAUAGUAUAAAUAAUAAAGAAGCGUGACCCCAGACUGUUAAAUAUGUGAUAUAUAUCCAAAGGAGAGUGAAGAUAGCUUUUUUGUUGUGCUGCCAACUGGGUUAACAAAUUCAGAUUAUGUUAUUGUUUUGUACAACAAUACCUUGCUAAACGAUGGACGUCCUCAGCGAAGAAAGCCAUGUCCAUGACCCUCUAAAGAAGAAAGAACACAAGCCAUAAGAAACAAAUGCACUUUCAUAUACUUAGUAGAAGUCGACUCCAAGUGAAAAUGAGGAGUGCAUAGCCGGUUACCAUCUAAAGAUAUUGGCAUCAGAAAUCCUCAAACACCUCCUUGAACAGUUAAAUUGCAGGACAAGUUUACAUAGACUAUUUUGUAAAUUGCAAUUACUGAAUAUGAGCACACGAGCAAACAACCAGACAGUAACGGCCUAAUGGGCAGUGAUUAUUCAUGAGUGUCAUCCCAUAGAAUGUUCAAAUUCACUAAAAUAAGCCAAUUCAGCCCUUAACAGUCUAGCAGAACAUCUCUCACAGAUUUUGCCACUGAUUCGUGAGUGGGGAGGAUAUAGAUGCCAGGCGGGAUAUGGUGAGAUACAAUGCCGAUGUCUAACGACAGCAGUGGGUCGAGCGACACGGGCUUCUGUCCAGCGACGCCAAGAAAGAAGCGGUUGAAUGUUGUUUCAUUCCCCACGCGGCUGAAUCCAACUCGGUCUUUAUCCUGCCUUGGAGUUCUCUCUCAUAACUGAAGCCAGGAGGUAUGGAAGUUGUUGGUGUGGUGACCGCCGUAGGGCCCGGGCUGACUGGCAGGAACAUUGGGGAUGUUGUCGCCUACGCAGGCAAGUCGAUGGGCUCUUAUGCCAAAGAGCAGGUUAUUUCAGCCAAUGUUGGUUCCCAUCACACCUUUGAUUGAUCACACAGCGGCUGCUAUCGUGCUGAAGGGGAUGACUGUCCAUAUGCUGGUUCACCACAUAUUUAAGGUACAUUUUGUCUUGCUCCUGCUGUGUGACAUACUGACCUGCUGCACAUCCGCGUGAAGCACACCCACCCGCUGCCGGAGGCGUCCCGCGCCCACGCUGACUUCAAAGCCCGGAAGACGCCGGGCUCCAUACUGCUGACCCUAUAGAACUAAGCACCGUCAUCUUUUUUGGGUAGGAGAAGAAGGCAUAAACAGGGGACUCGGCGAAGAAUCUACAAUGCUUGUCAAUAUGUUUGCAUCUGAACACUGAAUCCUUUUUCUCUCUGUUUCUCCUGGUUAUGUUGGAUUCAGUAUGAGUGAGUGUGUUUGUUGGUUAUGAGUUGGAUCGUGGUCUUGCUGUGCACAUCAUUGUUUGAAGCAUGACGAGUUGUAAAGACCAACAUUUUUCAAAAUAGUGACCUAGCAGGACAAGUA